UGAGGAAUAUUGGUCAAUGGGUGCAAGCCUGAACCAGCCAUCCCGCGUGAAGGACGACUGCCCUAUGGGUUGUAAACUUCUUUUGUAUAGGGAUAAACCUACCCUCGUGAGGGUAGCUGAAGGUACUAUACGAAUAAGCACCGGCUAACUCCGUGCCAGCAGCCGCGGUAAUACGGAGGGUGCAAGCGUUAUCCGGAUUUAUUGGGUUUAAAGGGUCCGUAGGCGGACUUAUAAGUCAGUGGUGAAAGCCUGUCGCUUAACGAUAGAACUGCCAUUGAUACUGUAAGUCUUGAGUAUAUUUGAGGUAGCUGGAAUAAGUAGUGUAGCGGUGAAAUGCAUAGAUAUUACUUAGAACACCAAUGGCGAAGGCAGUCACUUGGUCCAUUACUGACGCUAAAGCACGAAAGCGUGGGUAGCAAACA
rnacentral:rRNA from 1 species